ACAGGGGCUGCAUGCACCGGUGGUCAGAGAGAAACAGAACAGGGCAGGGAGUUUCACAAUGUUCUUCUAUACAAUGUCUGGAAUCUAUGAAUAACAUCAGUUUCUAAGUUAUGAGUUGAUUUUUAACUACUGGGUUUAGGCCAGGCAGGCCCAGGCCUGGUUUUGGGCCUGGCGCUGGGCUGCUUGUCUUUGGUUCUACUUCCUUGUUGUUUUUUUCUUAAAAGAGGUACUGAGUAUAAAACAAUAUAAAACAAUAUGAGAGGGUCUCUCUCUUCCCUCAUUUCCCCUCUUUGAGACUCUCACUUUUUAUCAGUGGGAGUUCUCACUCUUAUUUUUGCUACUUAUGUAUUUUCGUGCAAUAGAUUGAUAGUGAUUUAUAUAGUAUGCUUGUGCUGAAGCAUUUUGGUGAACUAAGGUUAAGCGACGAAGUUUUUUAUCAUUUGGAGAAAUACAGGUAUCAGACAAGGGAGCAGUAAGCAGGUUCCUAUUACUAUUAUUACUCUUAUUAUAAGAGUUUUAAAUCCACCUAUUGCUGGGAACCAAUUUCCAAACAUGGCUCCCAGAUUGAGUCCGUGCCACACUUGCACAGGUGCAUGUGCCAGUUUUGUUAUAUCUUUAACUAUAUCCUCAACUACUUGCCCCUGAUCAUCUAUGUGUAGACAAUAAUUAGUAAGGUCAAAUUUUUCACAAACUCCUCCUUCAGCUGCUAGCAAGUAAUCAAGAGCUAGUCUAUUUUGAUAGAUAGCAUUUCUCAUCAUAGUCUCUUGCCAGGCAAGAACAGUCAAGGCUUGAGUGGUUUUAUUAGUAAUAAUUUCUAAAACAGCUUGUAACCAUAUGAUUCGGUUGAGCAUGUAGAUGGGGGUUCCAUAUCCCCAUGAGACAUCUUGUGACCAAGUGGCAGGUCCAUAGUAUUGUAAGAUUUUUUCAGGGGGCCAUUCAUCGUCUUUCCAAUCACCUAUGGCUAUGCUUCAUUUUUCACAGGAAGCACAGACUGGGAAGCCCAGAAGUUUACCUGUUUUUAUGGGCACUAAGAAGAAAGAUGGCUUAAUGGUGCCAAUUACACAGCUACCUGUCCACUGAUCAGGCAGCUUAGCAUAAGCUCUGUGUCCACAUACCCAGUAUAACCCAGUGGGGGCCGUCCAGUCCCAGUGCAAUUCUGGGUGGGCCCAAACAGUCUGCAACUUUGGAAAUUUACUGAAUGGAUUUUUUUCUGUGUAAUUGGAACUCCACCAUGUAACUGUUUUUGUGGUACCAUUAUACAGCUUUUGCCCAAGACAACUAAGCUGCCCUACAGGAUGAGUAAAUCCUUUUCCUUCUCUAGCUAUGCAAUACUGUCCAAUAAUAAGACUUUCAGAACCCAAAAUUUGUCAGGGUGGUUCUUUUGGGCUGGGAAUUCAUCAGGAACCGGGUCUAUAGGAACCAAUUCUCGGGCUUCCCAUGGCCAUUGAUCUCCUGUUACGGUUCCUCCACAAACAUGACAUAGGCGACUUGUAGAGACUGGGCUACAUGUUUGGCUAAUUGCAAAAACAAAUUUUUAGUUUUUCCUGGAAUCUCAGGUACUGGCACAUUUAGUUCAUCAUAGAAAGUCUGAAAUACUGGUUCUGGAGAACGUUUUUGAACCUCUCCUUUUAUUAGGAUGCUUACACUAGGAUCUAGUCCUUUUCCAUCAAUGCCUAAUGUUACAUAUUUUUCUUUAUUCCACUUUGGGUCUGAGGGGUUUGUGAUUAUCAAUUCUAAAAGGUUGCAGCUCCCACUCAUGCAGGAGAGGCUGACUUUUCCUUUUUGGAACCAAACACUAUCUUUUUUAACUUAUUUUCAAGUAGCCGAAAUAACGCAAGACCAGUAUUGACACAUCUCACAUAAAUAUGAUUCUUGACAGAUAUACUUAUUUUUUUUUACUGUGUAACUUUUUUUUCCAAUUUAGAGAACCACAUCCUCAUCCAUGCUGCUUACUAUCAAUAGUGGCACAAGUGUCAAAUUUUAAGGUUACAUUUUUGGGGACCCCUCUUUCUUCUGUUCUAGCUAUUACCUUUCUUGUGUCACCUAGAAAAGGACCAGUCCUUAAUUGUAUUUUAAAAACUGUGAUCAUGGGAGGCUUAAAAUGGGUCAUAACACGCAUCAAGUUGGUUAUUUCCUGGGCUACAUACCUUGGAUAGAAUAGCAUUAUACAAACAAGUUUCUUUUAGAGUCCUGGUACACUUAUAAUAACCAUAAAAUAAUAGGAAUGUAGCAAUCUUUUGUCCUACCUCAGUGACUUGAUGUAUAUACUGGAAACAGUUCUCAGUCUGAGGAAGGUCAGUUGAAGUCCUUACUGUGCAAGUCUAAAUUUUAAGGAAAAUUAGUCCCGCGAUGAGUUUCCUCAUGCUUCAGCUGUGCGUGGACCAGUCAGCUUCCGGGUGUGACUGGAGCAGGGCUUGUCGUCUUCUUCAGAGUCACUUUGCAGGGGUUGGUGAAGCUGCUCCCAUCCAUGUACAGCUCCCAGUCUACUGAUGUUUAAGGAUGGUCUCGGUGGUUAGGCCCACUAGAAUAAACUGAGUCCAAUACCUCUACACAGUUAUGUUUAACUGGGCUCUCUGACACCGGGAGGAAGGUGGCGGGGUUUAGGUGUUGCAAACUUCAAUGGUUAUGCGGGGAUGUUCACAGAGCAAGCUUUGGUAUCUAGCUAGUCUAGCAUUCAUUAGCUAAUGGUGUCCUUUGGUAUUUAUUAAAAUCACCACAGCAUAGGGGGACUUUAUGUUUAGGUUUUGUCUAAGAGUUAGCUUAUCUGCUUCUUGUGCUAACAGGGCUAUUGCUACCAGGGACUUUGGACAUGGGGGCCAGCGUUUGGAAACCUCAUCUAGUUGUUUUGAGAGAUAGGCCACUGGCCUUGGCCAGGGCCCUACAGUCUGGGUUAAAACUCCAACUGCCACUUUUUCUCUUUCUGACACAUAGAGUGUAAAAGGUUUUGUCAGGUCAGGUAGCCCCAGGGCUGGGGCCGACAUGGGUUUUUUCUUUUUUUCAACUCAUGAAAAGCUCAUUGCUGUUGGGUGUAAUAGAUGCAGUUUAUCUAAUCUACAUUUUUAUUGACUGUCAUCUACCAAAAUAUUGACUUAAAUCCUGUAGCUAUUUGAUUUCGGACUUUAAAUUGAUCUGGUGUUCCUUGCGGGGCUUCGAUUGCAUCUAAAUAGAUGUGAGAGUUGAAAGACCCAUAAGGGGCUUCUCUCGCUUUACGAUGUCUUAUUAUUUUUUUUUUCCUUCCUCUGGUUGAUGAAAUGCCAGGGUGAAAGGGAUAGCCAAAUAGGCUAAAGCACAAGUGCCACUCUAGUUAUUCGGCAGAGUGCCCAAUAAAGGUCCACGACAAUACCAUCACACAUCCGCUCGGGGAUGAACAAGGGCUGACUGACUGAUAAGCUCUUGAAAAUUCUUAAGCUCACUGCAUCCCUUCAGGUCUCCAAGGAAUGCUAAGUCUCCUCCCUGCCAUGAGAGACAUGAAGUGAACUUAGUGUUGGGAGACGGAAGCUGGACGGCCCUCAGGGGCUGACCCGCAGGGACUUUGGGAUAUAGCAGAGAGAGCUUGGCAUGACUUAUUACUCCAAGCUGUAGAAACCUGGAAAAUAGCUACCCUGCAGCCCAUGCCUGGUCAACUGGAGGACCACCUUAGUGGAAGGGGGACAAUCAGGGCCUCUGGCCUGCCAUGUGCACAAGCAUAACAAUUGCAUUUGUUUAAAGUGCAGAUGGAAUAUUUGAUCCAUUUCAGCCAGGCACUUGCAUCUUGGCGUGCUGUCUUAAUUGCCAAAGUUUGUUUUAAGUCUUUAACUUUUAUGAUCCUCUAGUAAAAUGAAUGUUUCCUUUAGCACCAAUUUUUAUUAGUUUUUAGACCAAAGAAAGCUAAACACCAUUUUAUAUUUAAUAAUGUUUCUUGUAUGAUUUUUAUACCAGAUAAGCUAAAUUUUACCUUUAUAUUAGUGUGUUAUUAAUUUUAAACUGAAUUUUAAUAAAACCUUGUAGACAUAUUUAUCCAAUUUUUCAUGUUUGACCAUAAGGUAAGAUUUUAUAGACUCUUUUUAACCUUUUAUAAUUUUUGUUAAAGAGCAGGUUGAUGCUUUAAGAAAAACCUGUGGCAUUUUUUACUUUAAUGUCCAGUUCACAGAAAAACUGGAUGAUACCUUUUUAACUUUAGCUAAUAUGUUUACACACAGAAUUUUCUUUAUAAUUAACGUUUUAAAACUUGCUUAAACUUUUAAAACAAUAAUUGUUUUUAACCUUUUAAUGUAGGUAAAAAUCCACAUUCUUAUGCCCCUUUAUAAUCUUUUUACCAAAGGUAUGUUUUACUUUUCUUAUACACCUUGCACAUAAACUGUUUUUUUAAUAGUACUCAGGAGGCCUUAUUACUUUUAAAUUAUACAACAUUUUUUGCAUAAAUUUUUUUAUAACAUUUUUUCUUUCACGACUUUUGCCGACAAUUCUUCAAUGUGUCUCAACUUUCUGACUUAUUACAAACAUUUUUUUUCUUUAAACACCAGUUAGUUUAUUUCAGGACAAGAAUUUACCAUAUAACACUCUUUUUACAUAAAUUCUGUCUCCCCCCACUUUUUUUUUUUUUUGAAGAUAACCAUUCCUUUUUUUUUUUUUUAAAGCAAACUUUCUUUAUGCCUUUGGACUAGACUGUCUAAGGCCACAAGAUUAGAAGUUACCAUAAUACAUGUUACACUGUUAACUUUAAGCAAACUUCACUUUUGUUGAAAACCUUGUAAGUUUGGGAUUUCAAUUAUCCUUUGCUAUUAAGACCUUGUUUAGUCUAAAUUAACUUAGAAUUGGUAUAGAUGGCCUUUUUUUCUCUCUACUGGUCUUUCCUUGCCUCUGCCAGCCGCUUAUGCUGCUGUUCUCUUAACUACGUUGGCGGGGCAAGGGGGUAUAAAAGCAGCUGUAACUUUCUAUGUAUGGAAACUGGUCUGGGUGCCUUGGCUUACGGGUUACCUUGUGUCAUACCUUUGAAACAAGGGACCUGUCCAGGCUUCCUUCUGAUGGCCAACCCACCUCUAAUGCUGGCCAGUCUAUUUCACACAAAGUUCUAAGUUUUCCUGGUGUCACAGUAACACUGUAAUCUCCCUUAAAUUCUUUCUUGAAUUUUUUUUUAACAUAGUUCCUAGUGGGGUGGGCUUAUUUGUACCUGACCCAUGCUUCUUCGAGACAAAACACCACACCCACACCACACACAUGCCACAAACAAAAAAACAGGUAAAAAGGGCAUACACACUCUUGCAGUUUACACCAAACCAAAAUCAAAACCAAAAUCAGAGUAUCCAGAAAUCCAAGCCAGGUCAAAACCAAAACCAAAACCAAAGUAUCACACAAUCUAAGUCAAGUCAAAACCAGAACAGAAGUGCCAAUGCAGGCAUGUCGUGGGUGAUCAGGCCACACUUCCACCUAGAUGGAGUGGGGCAAGUUCCAAAGACUAGUCUUACCAAGUUUCAGAUGUCCGGACUCCAAGUGCCAGUUCCUUCCCGGUGUUCAGCCACUGUGUUAAUCCUCCACAGGGAACUGCUACACGCUGCUCUGGUGAGGCAUUCCACCGGGGCAAUUUCCUA
rnacentral:lncRNA from 1 species